GCUAUAUCAUGUUGAAAAUCCCGUUCCUGUACGAUCACCGAAAUUAAGCAACGUCGAGCCUGGUCACUAUCUAGAUGGGUAACUACUUGGGAAUACCUGGUGUUGUAAG